UACGUAGGGGGCGAGCGUUGUCCGGAAUCAUUGGGCGUAAAGCGUGUGUAGGCGGCCCGGUAAGUCCGCUGUGAAAGUCCAGGGCUCAACCCUGGGAUGCCGGUGGAUACUGUCGGGCUCGAGUCCGGAAGAGGCGAGUGGAAUUCCUGGUGUAGCGGUGAAAUGCGCAGAUAUCAGGAGGAACACCAAUGGCGAAGGCAGCUCGCUGGGACGUGACUGACGCUGAGACGCGAAAGCGUGGGGAGCAAACAGG
rnacentral:rRNA from 1 species